AAAUUGAAGAGUUUGAUCAUGGCUCAGAUUGAACGCUGGCGGCAGGCCUAACACAUGCAAGUCGAGGGGAAG
rnacentral:rRNA from 1 species